rnacentral:tRNA from 1 species
GGGGGAUUAGCUCAGUUGGUAGAGCAUCUGCUUUGCACGCAGAGGGUCAGGAGUUCGAGUCCCCUAUCCUCCACCA